UACAGAGGUCUCAAGCGUUGUUCGGAUUCAUUGGGCGUAAAGGGUGCGUAGGCGGCGCGGUAAGUCGGGUGUGAAAUCUUGGAGCUUAACUCCGAAACUGCAUUCGAUACUGCCGUGCUUGAGGACUGGAGAGGAGACUGGAAUUUACGGUGUAGCGGUGAAAUGCGUAGAUAUCAUUUGGAACGCCAAUGGUGAAAACAACUCGCUGGGGAAGUGCUGACGCUGAGACACGAAAGCCAGGGGAGCGAACGGG
rnacentral:rRNA from 1 species